AUUGAACGCUGGCGGCAGGCCUAACACAUGCAAGUCGAGCGGAUGAAGGGAGCUUGCUCCUGGAUUCAGCGGCGGACGGGUGAGUAAUGCCUAGGAAUCUGCCUGGUAGUGGGGGACAACGUUUCGAAAGGAACGCUAAUACCGCAUACGUUCUACGGGAGAAAGCAGGGGACCUUCGGGCCUUGCGCUAUCAGAUGAGCCUCGGUCGGAUUAGCUAGGUGGUGAGGUAAUGGCUCACCAAGGCGACGAACCGUAACUGGUCUGAGAGGAUGAUCAGUCACACUGGAACUGAGACAUGGUCCAGACUCCUACGGGAGGCAGCAGUGGGGAAUAUUGGACAAUGGGCGAAAGCCUGAUCCAGCCAUGCCGCGUGUGUGAAGAAGGUCUUCGGAUUGUAAAGCACUUUAAGUUGGGAGGAAGGGUUGUAGAUUAAUACUCUGCAAUUUUGACGUUACCGACAGAAUAAGCACCGGCUAACUCUGUGCCAGCCGCCGCGGUAA
rnacentral:rRNA from 1 species